UGCGGUGGGACUGUCUUUAUUUCAGAGUAAGGUAGAUGCAAGCGGGUUCACAGCACAUGUGCACUCACUGGCCUCUGCAUUUACUGAAUGUGGCCUCUCUGGAAAGUCUCUUUCACCCUGUAGCACCAGCUUCUCCCUCCCUCUCUCUCUCUCUCUCUCUCCUCUCUCUCUCUCUCUCUCUUAGCACUGGGGAUUGAAUCCAGGGCCUUUGCACUGAGCUACAUCCUUGGCCCUUCUUUUACUUUUGGAGACUGGGUCCAGCUAUGUAGCCCAGGCUGGGCUCAAACUCUCCAGGGCAUGUGCUACCCCGACCAGCAAAUCCUUGCUUUCAGGAGGAUCCAGGAACCCGGCAAAAAGGCAGCACGGGGCUUCAGAGCACUCUGGGAAAGCAGGAGGAGAUGGUGGCCCAUGGUCCCAGGUGCUGCUCAGCACUAACACUGCAUCCAGACCACAGGCUAGGGCUUGGUGGAGCUGUCGCCAAGUCCCUGUGAGGAGGGUCCUGUUACACGCAUCUCACAGAAGGAGAAACUGAGGCAUGGAGCGGCUCCCGGGCGACCUCCGUCCAGCGAGACACCGCAAUGUGCAGAGGGCACACGGAGCACGAGGGCAGAUGAAGCCGUGGGCGGAGAUGCGCCAUCGCCUCAGAGCAGCCACCCGGGUGCGCGCCUCAGUGUCACGGCGCUUUGUGGACGGACCCUUGGCAGGAGAGGCGCUGGGGUCCUGAGGGGUCUAGGCUGUCCUCCUGCUUGGAGCGUCUUGUCCGUACCUAGGGUCGUCCUCUCAGACGCAGAUCGUGUCUGUUCAGCAUCACCGUGCUCACCCCUCUGUCUCCACAGCAGGGGCUCCGUGGGGAGGGACUCUGUUUACACCUGGAGCCCCACACACCAAGGACCGCGCCUGGCACGUUGUAGCUGCUCAGUCAACGUUUGCUGAGGGAUUGAAUGACCGUCACGGGCUUGUAGACCCUGCAGCUGAGUGAGCAAAAACAACAGGCUCAGUCCUAGAGGGCGGUGCAGGCUCCCCAGGUCGUGUUCACCCAGGCUCACCGGAUGUGAGACCAGCGGGGAGCAGGGACGACCUGCAGGGGACUCAGGGGCGCUGCUCUAUGGUGGCCUGGCCAGGGUCAGAGGGCGCUGGACACGGGGCCUGCAACCCCAGCUAGGCCGUGCUGGCGCCCGGUUAGGCUUUCAUUCCAGAAGGGUGUGAGCUCCGCGGGGCAAAAGCACCUAUCUGAGCGGCAGGAUAUGGAGAUGUGAUCCGACUGUGUUUCCCGUGUCCUUCCGGGAGGAUGGCCAGGCCCCCGGGCUUGCUUGUCUCGGGACUCCGUGCCUCAGGACUGGAUGCAGGGCCUUGAAGAUCCUCAUUCCUGGUUUCUGGCCUCUCUGAGAGAAGGUCAAGCAAUCCGGUGCAGCAACAGCAGCCCUGAACGAAGGCUGCAGGAGAGGAGAGCACAGGACUGAGUCUGUCCCAGGGAAAAUGAGGCCUUGGGCUUCAUGCCCUUGCGAAACCCCAGGGUGGAGCAGAGCCUACGGAACGGGGAGUCCCAGCUUUGCAUGGGCCACGUGGAAGGGCUGCAGGCCCUCAGGAACCUGGUCUGUGAGGUCUGGAAACCAACCAUUGGAGUGGCUGUCACCUCUGCACGUGGACCUUUCCAGGGCCUCUGGACAAGCCUUUCACUGGGGACGGGAAUGGUGAGUUCCUCCACCAACCCAGUGAGCUGGGUCUCCAGAGCAGAAUCAGUUUGUUUUUAGAAAAUGUGUGGUGGCGCACACUUGUCAAUCCAGAACUCGGGAGGCUGAGGCAGGAGGAUCACCUGGAGUUUGAGGCCAGCCUGGGCUACAUAGUGAGACCCUGUCUCAAAAAACAAGAAAAAACAAGAGGAAAAAUCACGUGGCAUUGCUUUCAAGCUAGCCUUGUGGCAUGCAGCUGGUACUGGCUGACACAUCACAGUUUUGAGCUAUCACCCUUGGGCCACCGUGGUAGAUAAAGAACAUCCCUUGGAAAGAAUGAACCCUGAAACACCCAGCAGAAAUCAGGAAAUCACUGUCCUAUUUUUGCCUCUGUCACCAACAAGCCUGUGACCUUAAGAAAGUCUCUUCCCCCAUCUGUGCCUCUCAUUUAUUUAUUGGUUAAACAAAGUGACAGGCUCCAAAUUCCUGGUCCACAUUCCUACAAAUUCAGAAUGGGUUUGGGAACUCAAAGAGUACGGAGACCAUAUUCUGGGGGAAGAAUGUUGUUUUAGGGCCUGUUCCAGCCCUGUUCAUUUCCACUUCAAAGCAACUGACUUUUUGGAAAAAGCAGCAUUUCUGGGGGUGCAGAAGGCAGCCGGAUAAAUGUGACAUUAUGGCCAGUACCUGCUUCGAGCCGCUUCUCAAGCACUUGUAGUUUCUCUGUUGCAUUUGGGUCCUCAUUGUCCCAAGCCCUUCUUGGAGUUUUAUUUUAAAAAGAAAAGCACCUCUGAGCAAGCCCUUUCCUUCUAAGCGCAUCUUACCAGGCAGCACAGCAUAAACACUGCUGUGUGAGGCUGCGUGUUUAUGUUUUCUCGAGGACUUCCAGAUCAGAUUUGCUGUGUUUACAAGUUGGAGACACUUUUUCUAACCACAGGCAUCACACACUGAAACGUGGGGCCCACACCCCAGCUGGGCUCCCUCUGUUCCCAGUUACCCAGUCCAUGAUGUAGGUGGGGUACUCUGCUUUGCAGACAUAGAUGCAGUCAAGGUGCCGAGUUCUUCCUCUUACUAUUGUGACUCUGAGCCACAGGUCCAGGGCUGGGCACUGCAGAGGGGGCCCUCGAGUGCACUUUGAGGUUUCUCUUAAAUCCCAGGAAUGCCCACAGGCCCUAGGUGCUUCGGAGUUUGUAUUCACCUCUUAGGGCACCCAUUGGUGAUGCACAAACUUCAAACAUGAAGCCCUUGAAGCAUUUCCUUUUUUGAUUUUGGUUUUGGUCUUUUGAGACAGGGUCUCACUAUGUCCUUCAAACUGGCCUUGAGCUCACUAUGUAGCCCAGGCUGGCCUUGAAUUCCCAGUGAUCCUCCUACCUCAGCCUCCCUCGAGCUGGGAUUACAGGUGUGAGCCAUGAUGCACGGCUUCUUCAGUGAUCAUAGGUGUAUGAGGUUUGAUUUCACCCGAAUCAUGUGUUCUUGUGCUACCCUGUCUCACAUGGACACAGACCACACACACGUGCACAUGUGCACGCAUGAUACACGCACUCUUCCUUCCCUCAGGUUUGAUUGCAAAUGCCUUAUUGAAAGCUAUUAAAAUUUUUGUUUUGGAAUUGAACUAAAAUAAUUCAGUAAAAAUAUUUUAUUUUUAAAUACAAAAAACCCCAGGAAGGAUUCAUACAGUUGUAUUUUCACUACCAUUCCUGAAACUCUUAGCCAGGGACCUCUGCAGGUUGUUGGUCUAACAAAGCCUUGACACAGGUCUAGGAGAGUUUUCAGAGUCUUGGCUCCAGUGCUUUUGCUGUGUGACCUCAGGACGGUCACCUCCCCUCUCUGGGUCACAGCUGCCUCGUGAAAGUGAAGGGCUGGGUCUGGGGGUCUCUGAGGAACCUUUCAGACCUGCAGCUCUUCAUACAGGCAUCACUCACCUUAGUAAAACCCAGCGCCCGAACAAUUAAUAAAUAAAACCCACCUUCUCCAAAUGCCUUUUGAUUUAUAAGGCAGAGCGAUAAAGGUAAAACUGCUUGCAUUAUAAAAAAUAAUUUUUAUAAUUA